AUUGAACGCUGGCGGCAUGCCUUACACAUGCAAGUCGAACGGCAGCACGGGAGCAAUCCUGGUGGCGAGUGGCGAACGGGUGAGUAAUAUAUCGGAACGUGCCCAGUCGUGGGGGAUAACGCAGCGAAAGCUGUGCUAAUACCGCAUACGAUCUACGGAUGAAAGCGGGGGAUCGCAAGACCUCGCGCGAUUGGAGCUGCCGAUAUCAGAUUAGCUAGUUGGUGGGGUAAAGGCCUACCAAGGCGACGAUCUGUAGCUGGUCUGAGAGGACGACCAGCCACACGGGAACUGAGACACGGUCCAGACUCCUACGGGAGGCAGCAGUGGGGAAUUUUGGACAAUGGGCGCAAGCCUGAUCCAGCAAUGCCGCGUGCAGGAUGAAGGCCUUCGGGUUGUAAACUGCUUUUGUACGGAACGAAACGGUGAGCUCUAAUACAGUUUGCUAAUGACGGUACCGUAAGAAUAAGCACCGGCUAACUACGUGCCAGCAGCCGCCGUAAUAC
rnacentral:rRNA from 1 species